rnacentral:pre_miRNA from 2 species
UCGUGCCUGGCUCCCUGUAUACCACAAGCAAACACCGAUCUCUUAUGAAAUCGAUCGCUAGUGGUGUAUAGAGUAGUCAAGCAUGA